rnacentral:rRNA from 1 species
CCUACGGGUGUCUGCAGUAGGGAAUAUUGCUCAAUGGGGGAAACCCUGAAGCAGCAACGCCGCGUGAAGGCUGAAGGUUUUCGGAUUGUAAACUCCUUUUGUUAGAGAAGAUAAUGACCGACUCUAACACAUAAGCACCGGCUAACUCCGUGCCAGCAGCCGCGGUAAUCCGGAGGGUGCAAGCUUUACUCGGAAUCACUGGGCGUAAGGGGCGCGUAGGCGGGAUAGCAAGUCAGAUGUGAAAUCCUAUGGCUUAACCAUAGAACUGCAUUUGAAACUGUUAUUCUAGAGUAUGGGAGAGGUAGGUGGAAUUCUUGGUGUAGGGGUAAAAUCCGUAGAGAUCAAGAGGAAGACUCAUUGCGAAGGCGACCUGCUAGAACAUAACUGACGCUGAUGCGCGAAAGCGUGGGGAGCAAACAGGAUUAGAUACCCGGGUAGUC